GCAGUGGUGGUUCAGUGGUAGAAUUCUCUCCUUCCAGGCAGAAGACCCAGGUUCGAUUCCCGCCACUGCA
rnacentral:tRNA from 1 species